AUGACUUAGCCCUUUCCAAGUCUUUCUUAGAUAGAGUUUUGUAUAGUGGCAAAGAUGUCAAGUUCAUCGAAGCUCCUUGUGAUGAUGCUUUUCUCAUUCUUGGCGUUUUUCGUAUCCUCCCAUGCUCGAGUUAUUUUCUCUGAUACACCGUUUAUUCCGUACUAUUCACCUAUGUACGCUCCUGUUCCUGAGGAUUGUUUCAAGCCACCUUAUCAUUGCCGCUCUCGACGAGAGUUUGAAUCUGGUCACCUAGAUCUAUACCAGGGAAACUAGUUAUGUUUCGAAAUCUGAUGAAGGCGUCCAUCGAAUUGGGAUUAUCUGUAUACACUUUUAACUUUGUUAAUUAUAUAUACACCAUAAACUAUUAUCAUAUUAAAUUAAUUACGGUGAUAUAUAUAUCUAUGGGCAAUUGAGUAUUUUAUAUUUUCAUCAUUUGCUGGGAAAUGAAAAGUUUAUGAGAUCCGUGUUAUAUAAUAUGAUGCAGUUUGUUGAAA